rnacentral:rRNA from 1 species
UACGAAGGGGGCUAGCGUUGCUCGGAAUCACUGGGCGUAAAGGGUGCGUAGGCGGGUCUUUAAGUCAGGGGUGAAAUCCUGGAGCUCAACUCCAGAACUGCCUUUGAUACUGAAGAUCUUGAGUUCGGGAGAGGUGAGUGGAACUGCGAGUGUAGAGGUGAAAAUUCGUAGAUAUUCGCAAGAACACCAGUGGCGAAGGCGGCUCACUGGCCCGGUACUGACGCUGAGGUGCGAAAGCGUGGGGAGCAAACA